GAAUCCGGUUUAAAAUUAUUUCUAAAAAGAUCGUUUAUAAAGAUGGACGUCAGAAUAUGUCUAUUUUGUUGUUGUCUUAUUGGUUGUUUUUAUACAGCGGUGAGUAGAGAUCCCUUACCACUGUGGUAUAAAUUAAAACCUAGGACCAAGUUAAAUAUCGUCAAACAUAAAUCCCCGGAUUACAAUAACGACGGCUAUAUCGAUAAUGACGAAGCUGAAGAAUAUUUAGAAAUACAUGGAGAAGAUCUGGAUAAUUUUUUAUCUUCUGCCGAUGAUGAUGGUGAUAGUGCAGUAGACGUUGACGAGUUUCACUUAGCUCUCUUGAUUUUAACUGGUAAAGUAUAUUAUUGUGACGAGGGGAGAAAGGCCUGCAUGGAAAAACAGAGAGCUGCAAAUAAGGCUAAAUCUGAAUUAUGAGUAAGUUUGCAGUUGCAUCGAUAACCCUCAAGGAUAAAAUGAUAUUAUAAAUUCAAAUGUGCUGUGUGCAAAUAUUUGGAUGGUUUUGGGGGUUUUUUGUUUCAUCUUAGAAUAUGAUAAACAGAUUUCAAUUUAGCUGGAUCAACAGAAAUAUUUGAACAUAGAGUUUAUCAGGCAUGGCCGGAUUUAGACAUAGGGUGCCCAGGGCUUUUCGGAUUCGACAGCCUUCAAAAUGAAAAAUAAAAUACAUGAAAAAUCUAACUUUGAACUAAAAUGACUGAUGAACUGCAUUUGCUCUGGAGAAAAAAAUAUAUGUUAGCCCAAAUUUUAAAAUUAUUACAUGUUUUCACUUUUUGUGUUUUAAUUGAUGUGUAUAUAUGUGUUACAUGUAAAUCAUUCGUUAGACGGCACACCACAUUUAAAGCUGCAUCACUGGUACUAUUGUGAUGUAAAGUCUGUUAUUAUUAUAUAUGUGUAUAAAAAGACCUUCAUAUAGAAUGCGGUGGCUUCUACGAAACAGAAGAGGGGAGAAC